UGCAAAGGUAGCAUAAUCGUUAGUUUUUUAAUUGGAAUCUUGUAUGAAUGGUUGGACAAAAGAAAAUCUGUCUUUAUAUUGUUUAUUGAAUUUAACUUUUAAGUGAAAAGGCUUAAAUAAAUUAAAGGGACGAUAAGACCCUAUAAAGCUUAAUAUUAAUAUUUUACUUGGUUAAAUUUUCUUGUUUAUAAAAACUUAGUAAUUGAAUUUAUUUUAUUGGGGCGAUAAAUGUAAAAUGGCUACUAACUGCUUAAUUUUUUAUACAUCUAUAAAUGAAUUAGAAAAUAAAUGAUCCUUAAUAUAAAGAUUAAAAGUUUAAGUUACUUUAGGGAUAACAGCGUUAUCUUUCUUAAGAGUACAUAUCGAAAGAAAAUUUUGCGACCUCGAUGUUGAAUUAAAAUACCUUUAUAAUUGCAGCAGUUAUAUAAGUAGGUCUGUUCGACCUUUAAAAUUUUACAUGAUU
rnacentral:rRNA from 1 species